CCUACGGGAGGCAGCAGGCGCGCAAAUUACCCAAUCCCGACACGGGGAGGUAGUGACAAUAAAUAACAAUAUAGGGCUCUUUUGGGUCUUAUAAUUGGAAUGAGUACAAUUUAAAUCCCUUAACGAGGAACAAUUGGAGGGCAAGUCUGGUGCCAGCAGCCGCGGUAAUUCCAGCUCCAAUAGCGUAUAUUAAAGUUGUUGCAGUUAAAAAGCUCGUAGUUGAACUUCAGACCUGGCCGGGCGGUCCGCCUAACGGUGAGUACUGUCUGGCUGGGCCUUACCUCUUGGUGAGCCGGCAUGCCCUUUACUGGGUGUGUCGGGGAACCAGGACUUUUACCUUGAGAAAUUAGAGUGUUCAAAGCAGGCCUAUGCCCGAAUACAUUAGCAUGGAAUAAUAAAAUAGGACGUGCGGUUCUAUUUUGUUGGUUUACUAGAGUCGCCGUAAUGAUUAAUAGGGAUAGUUGGGGGUCAUUAGUAUUGCGUUUGCUAGAGGUGAAAUUCUUGGAUUGACGCAAGACUAACUACUGCGAAAGCAUUUGCCAGGAUGUUUUCAUUAAUNAAGAACGAAGUAGGUAGUAGAACGAGANAGAGUACGUUGUAGUAGUUACGUAGUAAGUAGUAGCGACGUAGGAGUU
rnacentral:rRNA from 1 species